rnacentral:lncRNA from 1 species
CAAAUUAUUGUUUAUUUACAGGGAAAGCUAACUUCUUUGCACUGUAAUGAAAUACAGUAAACUUCAACAAAAAUACUACUCAUAGUUUUUAAAGAAGGAUUAAGUAUAUGUGAAAAAAACGGGAAGAAACCAAAUUAAUUUGGAAGACUUCACGCAGAAAAAGCAUAAAGAACAGGGCUUAUCUGUAUAGAAGGUAAUUGGAUACUACAGUGUCUGACAGGUUGGAUGACUUUCUUACCCUUUCAAGAAGGUUUGCUAAGAGAGAGUUGGAGUAUGAGAGUGAUUUAGCUGAUUGCAUCGCUUAUAGUUUUCUUGGUACUUUAAAGUUUUCGUAUUAGCAUGGAAGUCAUAGAGAUUCUUACCUUCCACGUGACAGAGAUAAUAUUUACUUAAUAAAUUUUGUCUUUAAAUAUACCACAGAAUUUCAUAGCCCCAGAGGAAAAGUAGUGACAUUGAAAGUGUCAUGGGAACUUUCGACUUGGAUUCUUUCCUUCUGUUCCCUUUCAUAAGAACUAUACAUGUUACAUCAGAAACACAAAUAUAGACUGUGAUCCUGCUUGCCAUUAACUGCAAAUCAAGUGUUUUUUACACAGGUUGUGGUGUGAUUUAGUGACUUGGGAUGGUGUAGGAUUUGCAAUCAACUUUCUCAGCCUCAAUUAGGAUGAAGUACCUAGAAAAGAGGAAGGAUGGAUUUGUGGUUUAAGUAUGAAAUUGAAAAACAGGAGAUCUGUUCUUGAUUCGAUAACAGACUGAUUUGUGGAAAAGUAAUUUUUCUGUUCCUGAAUUUUUAUGUUCCUUAAUUUCUGCUUAUGUAAAUAUGAGUAUUAUUGACUGAUUCUGCUGAAUAGAUGACUUGAUUUAUUAACAUUCAUAAUGUGCUUUAAGACAAGGAGGAAAUCAUUAUUAGGAAAGUGGAUUUGAAAGAACUUAUUACCUUCCUCAAAGAAAAGUUACUUGACAGUAGAAUACCCUGAAAGCAAUAUCAUCUAUUGGUGUGUUUUAUGUCCAGUUCAUAGGUAUGUGUAACAAUGAAGAUAAAUUUUAAAGUACUUUCUGUGUGAUUUCUGUCAUAUCUACCAUAGUCUGUCAUCUGCCAUAUUUACCAAUAUCUGUCAGCCUAAAAUGUGUGCCACUUGUAUCUUUAUAGCUCUAUUUAAAAAAAUAUAUUGCCUGUCCAGAUGAUGCCACGGACUAUUCUGGAAACUGUUUCUGUUCUGUUGGUUUUCCCCUUCGAGAAUGGUUAUUAGCAACAAAGAGCAUACAAAAACCUAGAGUUGGAGUUCAUCCUGCAUCAGAAGUUUGUAACACUGAGACUGCCGGGCACAGCCUGCCACAGGUGAAGUAAAAGUAGUGCUGUUAGAGAGAAGCAGGUCCCAAGCACACAAGGUUUAUUUCAUUACACAAAACUGCAAAUAAGCUUGUCUUCCUUAGAACUGGGUUUCCUGUUGCUUACAUGUGGUUUUAGUUGAUGCUCCUUGCAUUACCAGUUACAUAAAUGGCCCAUGACAGUGAUUCUUGAUUCUUUAAUGCAGUAUACACUGCCAACAGACUCUGCACCGUACUGUUGUGGAUUUUUGAAACAUCACUACUGAGCAGUGCACUGCACACAUUCCCGCAUGUGUAGUUAAACUGCAGUGUGCCAGAUGUCACUCUGUCACACUUGUCGCCCCAGAAGCAGCAGUUGCCCUCACCACCUUUACCCUCCCUGCAGCAGAAUUAGCAAGCCCCUCUCUCAAAGCAUUUCCUCACUCUCUGCUGCCUUAUCACCAGGAUUCAGAUUUGUGUGCAGUCAGAUGUGCUUCAUCACUUAUGGUGGAGAAUAGAAUAUGUACCUGGGACUUUAUUCCCUUGGAAGUUAUAGGUAAUUCAGAACCUAAUGAGCUUGCUGGCAUGGGCAGCUGUAAGUAUUUUCAACUCUUCCUCUGCUGUCAACACAGUAUAUCUUAUCAAGUUUAGGGUCUUGAUUUGCAUAGAAAGGUCUCAAUCUGAGCUCAAUAUACGCAUGAGACUAGAAGUCUGAGAUGAAGAUCAUGACUGAUAGUGUGGCUAUUUUGGCACAAGACACAUAAAGAUAAUUAUGGAAGAAUGGAGAAGAGUUAAAAAAAAAAAACAAACAACCAGGAAGGAUCACUGUGCUUGCAUAAAAUGAUCACUUUUUCAGGCAAAAAUCACCUUCCUAUGAGUUUUGACUUUUUUAAACAGAAGAAUAGCAGCAUUGCUAUUCAAAAUACUAUCUUCCUCUCUGUUUCUGCUUCAUUGUUGCUAAUUUGCAGCUAAAAACCUGACAAUCAUGUUAUGCUUAACCAAUUGUCAUGCCAGUAUCUUUAAAGAAACUAUUUGGACAUUUGUUCUAGUCAAUCAUCUGAGUAUUUGAUGCACAGCUGCUGGACUUCUAGAGUUAGUUAAGUCUUGAUGGACAUCAGGUCAGCCCACCCGAUGGCAUCAGCAUUUUGCCAGACUUUCGUACUUCUUCUCUAACAUAAGGCACAAAAGUGCUUUUUACUGUCAUACUGCCAACAACUUCUCCACCUCCAUCUUCUAUACAGUAUCUUGAUGCAUACUCACACAACUUAAUACAUCUUUAACUGAUCAAGAGAUCCGGUUGUUUGACAGUCACUCAGUAAUCCUUCUACUAUCAUGGAUAUGAGAAACCGCCUUGUUUAGAGAACUCCACUAGUCAUGAUGAACCAUUGCCAAAACAAAUGAAUUCACAAGUGAGUGGAUGUUCAGUUCCACUGAUGGGUAUGGAAGUGUAAUAUGUGAUCUUUCAGUGACUGGUUAACUGGUUUUCUGGGUUGAUGUUCCAAAACAAAUUGUAAAGGCAGCAGAAGUCAACCAAGAGCAGACAAUCUUAAUUAGAGUAGGCACCAUGUCUGACCAGCACACUAGUAUUAACAUAGAAGAGAGUCAAACAGGCUGCUGAGGAAGUCUUAAAUACUCAGUGCAGUCUGGAGAGAUGAAAUGAUCUUACUGCCAUUUGCAAGUGAACAUGCCUUAAAGGAAUAGUAUGUGCUUUAAAAUUGUUGUGUACAUUAAGUACCAUUAUGCAGCAUUGCAUUCAAGGAAUUGAUUUUAUGACAUGUCCCUUUAGACAUGGGAGGGAAAGUGUCAGGUUGCCCUAGACCUUAAUUCAGAGUGAUGUUCAAAUGUUGGUUUUGGCACAUGUCCUGGACUUGGCAGUGGUGUAAUUUGUGUACACUUUUUUUUUCCCUACAAGAUGGAAAGGCACAUACAGAUGCUUUUGCCAGAAAGAAAUCCUUCUGUUUACCCCUUUUGCCCAUUAAAUCUGCAAAGUCUCUUAUACCACACCACACAUCCAAGAGAAAAAAAAACAAUUAUCAAUCAGUCAAGAGCUGGCAAUCAGCUGUAUAUUUCAGCAGGGAUCUAAUACAAGCCAGAUGCUCUUCUGUCUGUCCCAAACAGCAUCGUGUCGCUGCAUUCACUGCUUGGCUAUCAGCUUCUCAAGUGAAUGGAUGGAACCAGGUUUGGUCCUCAGUGCAAUUUUUAUAUCCAAGUUCUCUGAGGGGGCUUGGAUGUUAUCUGAGCACAGGUAGAAGCACCUUGCAGAAUCAUCCCCUUGCAGGUUCUACAGUUGUUUCUUCCCCUGUGUCUGAGAAGUUCUGAGCUGAU